rnacentral:RNase_P_RNA from 1 species
GGAGUUGACUGGGCAGUCGCUGUACCGGGCGCGCCUUGCCGUCGAUGGCGAAGGCUCGAUGUCGGUGCAGAGGAAAGUCCGGGCUCCACAGGGCGGGGUGCCAGGUAACGCCUGGGGGAUGUAAAUCCACGGAAAGUGCCACAGAAAAUAUACCGCCUGCCUUCCCUCGAAGGGAAAGCAGGUAAGGGUGAAAAGGUGCGGUAAGAGCGCACCGCGCCCCAGGUAACUGGGGUGGCAGGGUAAACCCCACUUGGAGCAAGACCAAAUAAGGGGCCGGUUGCGCCUUAGUGCGUAACCUGGGCGUGGCCCGCGCUAGCCCCGGGUAGGUCGCUGGAGGCGUAUGGUGACAUACGUCCAAGAUGAAUGGCUGUCCUCGACAGAACCCGGCUUAUAGGUCGACUCCCGCA